AUGAUAGUGCUAAUCUGGAACUAUCGGGGACUUGGCCAACCCCGUACAGUUCAUGAACUAGUGGGUCUUGUGAAUGCUCUCAAGCUGAAACUAGUUUUCCUCUCUGAAACACGGCAAAGUAAUGAUUAUGUCAAUAAGCUUAGAUGGAGGCUAGGCCUCAAGAAUUGUAUCCUGCAUGCCGGCACCAGAAAAAGUGCAUGCAUUGCUCUCUUUUAUGAUGAACAAGUAGAAAUAAAGAAGCUUGCCAUUGGCCCGAGGUAUAUUGACGUCUUGAUCCGUUUAUCUCCUCACAGCCCUACAUGGCGGGGUACCUUUGUGUAUGGUGAACCUAGAGCUCAAGAUAGAAUACAAAUGUGGAACCUGCUAUGUCGUAUAAGGCCGAAUGCUUCUGAUCCUUGGCUUGUCAUCGGGGAUUUCAAUGAAACAAUGUGGCAGAGCGAACACUUCUCAAGGGAGAAAAGAUCCGAGAGUAACAUGGCUAGCUUUCAACAGGUGCUAGCAGACUGUAACAUCCAUGACCUAGGUACAAAGGGACUAGUUGGACGUAUGAUAACAAGCAAAGCGGCAUAA
rnacentral:rRNA from 1 species